rnacentral:rRNA from 1 species
UCGAGAAUUUUUCUCAAUGGGGGAAACCCUGAAGGAGCGACGCCGCGUGAAGGAUGAAGGUCUUCGGAUUGUAAACUUCUGUCAUUAGAGAACAAGGCUGCAGGGAGUAACUGUCCUGCAGUUGAUAGUAUCUGAAGAGGAAGAGACGGCUAACUCUGUGCCAGCAGCCGCGGUAAUACAGAGGUCUCAAGCGUUGUUCGGAUUCAUUGGGCGUAAAGGGUGCGUAGGCGGCGUCGUAAGUCGGGUGUGAAAUCUCGGGGCUCAACUCCGAAAUUGCAUUCGAUACUGCGGUGCUUGAGGACUGGAGAGGAGACUGGAAUUCACGGUGUAGCAGUGAAAUGCGUAGAUAUCGUGAGGAAGACCGGUGGCGAAGGCGGGUCUCUGGACAGUUCCUGACGCUGAGGCACGAAGGCCAGGGGAGCAAACGG